AGGAGCCAGGUCAGAGCUCCCCAGGCUCCUGUGCAGCUUUGGCCAUGGCCAUUCACAUGAGGCUCCCAUGGCCUUACCUGGCCCCCUUGCCGUGCCCAGUUCCCAAAGGCACAGGGGGAUCCCAGCACACCAGGAAAUGGUUCUCAUCUGUGCUCCCUUCUAGAUGAGCAUGCUAGGAAGGCUUCUCCAGCAGCUUGGCUCCAUGCAGAUUUCCAGCCUCUUAAGCCUCCUGCAGGUGUGUCUGCAGGGAAGACUUUUCAGGCUCCUUUCCGGGUUGCUGCACACAAGCCCAGCUCCCAUCGCAGGGAGAUGGACAGAGAGGCUGUGCUGAAGGCUGAGUUUCCCAGAGCAAGCAGUGGCUCAUUGGCAGCCUCUGCUGCAGGAAGGGAGGCGAUGCCAGGCACAGUCACUGGAGGUUGGGACCGUGACUUGCAUCAUUUGGAAAGACUGGCAAACCAUGGUUUAAGGGUCUUGGAGCUUGGUGAAGGUUGGUUAUCAGCAACUCUUUCCUAACAGAGUGAUCAUUGUCCAGAGUAAUAUUCAUGUGUGAUUUCCUUUAAGAUGCUUUGAAGUUUGAUGGAUUCUGGAAAUCCUGUCCUCCAAAUUUCUACUCUUGUGCUCAACAGUGAUCCCACAGGAUCGCUGUCAGUGGGAGGAAGGAGCAUUUGGCUGUCCAUCUUCCACCCAUGUGCAAUGCCAGUGUGUCCUUCCAUGUUGUGUGCUCUGUGCAGCCAGGGAGAAGAGCAGAGAGGGAAGGGGCCGGGCCCAGGGCUGUGCCCCGGGGCUGAGCCUUUCACAGCUCCUUUGCCGGCCCC